AAAAAAUAAAAAAAGAUGAAGCAAGCUUUAGCAACAAUUUUCGUCGUGGGGAUCGCUUUUCUUAUUCUCACAUCAGGUAUAUUCUUUUGCUAAGUUAAUUUUUAUUUCUUAUUAUUCGAACACAUUAAAUAUGCAAGAUUGUUUAUGUACGUACUGCUAUAUAUUUAUUUGCAGAAAAUGGAAUAAUGCAUUCAGUUGAAGGGCAAGCAGUAAAUGUUUGUGAAGAAUUAAUUCUUGGCGUUGCGUGUCAUCCAGAAAGAGAUUCAGCGAAAUGCCUGACAGAGUGCUCUAAAAUAUCCAAAGGUCAUGGCAUCGUCGAUCAUUAUUGUUUAAGAGGGGAAACUACAAGUACUCCUAAUUACUGCUAUUGUCGAUGGAUAGCAGAUUUCUGUAGUUAAUUAAGAGUGUUAAUUAUACUCUAAAAGCAAGACUUUGAAAAUGUAGUAGUUCUUCAAGCUACUUGUGCUUAAUAAGAUAUAUAUAGCGACUACUUUCUCUUCAUGAAGUUGUAUAAGAAUUUGGUAAAGAAAGAGAGGGAAUAUUGUAUUCGUUCAAAUAUUCUCGUAUGAAUUUCUAUAACAUUCCAGCUUUAAAGU
rnacentral:lncRNA from 1 species